AUGGCAGUGCCUCGUGGAUUUGCUCAACAAGGAAGAAAUGACACUGCUAGUGUUAUAGGAACUCCAGUGACUGGUAGACAACAAGCUCACACACCUGCAUUCAAUCAGUUUUAUCAGCAAAACAGAGAUAGGCAACUUUGGCAGGGAUAUUGUAAAACCUAUGAGCAGGAUAUGCAGGCUCAAUUUAUGAAGUCAGUCACCAAAGGGCCUAGGCUUGAUUUUCCUCGCUUUUCUGGAACAGAUCCAGUAGGGUGGAUAAGACAAUGUAACAAAUAUUUCCAAAUGUCUGGAGUUCCAGAGGAGUACAAGGUUUUAUUGGCACAAAUGUAUGUAGUGGAGGAAGUUGAUGUGUGGCUAAGGAGAUCUGGUCUGUUGAAGAAGCAACUCAAUUGGAAAGAAUUUGGAGCAGAAGUAGUCAAAAGAUAUUCUGACAAAGGUUCUUAUGAUUUGGCAGAAAAAUUUAACUCCAUCAAACAAUUGCAUUAUACUGUAUCUGAACACACAAAAAUGUUUGAAGAUCUCAUGGCAGAUGUGCAAGAGGAAAACCCUGAGCUGGGAGAACUGUGGUUUGUGAGGUGUUAUGUGAAUGGUCUCACAGAGGGAAUUAAAUUCCAACUUAGACCUUUCAAACCUCAAACUCUGACAGAUGCUUACUGUAUGGCAAAAGACAUAGAACCAAAUCACCCACACAUAGCCACUACAAGCAAGAAGUAA
rnacentral:rRNA from 1 species